rnacentral:rRNA from 1 species
GACGUAGGGCGCGAGCGUUGUCCGGAUUUAUUGGGCGUAAAGAGCUCGUAGGCGGCUCAUUGCGUCAACCGUGAAAACCAGCAGCUCAACUGUUGGCUUGCGGUUGAUACGGGUGGGCUGGAGUUCGGUAGGGGAGACUGGAAUUCCUGGUGUAGCGGUGAAAUGCGUAGAUAUCUGGAGGAACACCGGUGGCGAAGGCGGCAUCCUGGACCGGUAUUGACGCUGAGGCGCGAAAGCUAGGGGAGCAAACGGG